ACAUGUGACAGCCGCCAUUUUGGAUUCAAAAUGUAAACAACAGACGAUUGAAACAGAUUUUAUUUUUUUGUUUUUUGAAAGAUGAAUGAUUGCUUUAAAUGGAGAGCCGAUGCUGUCUUGCAGCGUGGUUGGUGAUGAGGCCCAGGUAUAGUACGAUGUCGUUGAAGAGGGCUCCAACCGGAAGCGGCAGAAGCUCGUAUCAUCGGAUGGGUUUUCAUAAUAUGUCAAGAGAGAGACCGACUCUGGACAGCAGACAGUGGAGAUGCAUCAUCAGGCGAAAGGGCAUGUCUUCCUGUACUCGUCUGUGAAUCAUCGGGUGAUGUUUUCUCAUAGGGCGCUAAGGACCUAGCGGGUCGCUAUAAAACGCAGCGAUUUACGCAGGCUGUAAUAUGCAGGCUGCGUUUUUAGGGUAUAAAACGCAGCAACGCAGCCAAUAUAUGUAUAGAGGAAAAACGCAGCUUUUAAAAAAAAUCAUUCAUAGUGCUACAAAAGGAAGGAAUAAAUUGAUUUUCUUGAUAUAACAUAUUAAAAAACGUAUUGGUAUUAUUGACCAGAUACAAAAGUGUGUAUUUCGAAUAAGGUAAGUUUAAUUUCGGAAAUAAAAGAUGCUAAUGGUUCCUCAAAGAAGUGUUUUAUCAUUUUGUUGUUUGUUUAAUUUGUUAUAAUUUGCAUGUAUGCGUGUUUGCGUUUCAAAUAACUUAUAAUUUCACAUUAAAAGUGUAGUUAAUUACUGUUUAUUCAUCAUGUCGGUAACUUGAAAGACUUUUAAGGCUUUGAAAAAGUGCGUCAAUGAGAAAAGGAUGUGCUGUGAAAAUUAUAUUUUGACAACUUCUUUUGUAAUUUAAAUAAUUUUCGUUACUCAACAAAUCAAGACUGGAAUGAUUGGUAAUGUUUCAGUAAAGUUUUAGUCAUUCUGUUCUUCACUUUUUUACAAACGGACAUAACUACCGCAUAUUAAAUUUGUGUUUACCCCCCCCCCCCCCAAAAAAAAAAAAAAAAUCAAAAAAAUCAAAGACUUCAUGGACCUGGAUAUUGUGUUUGACUUGAUACAAUCGGUGUCGGUAAAUAGUUUAUAAUCACUUAUAUUCAUGUUGUUGUUUUUCGUUUAAGAAGUUUUUUAGUAUUAGGCCUUAAACAGAAUACGAGCUAUUAAUGAUGACUUUUAACAUGUUAUUCUCGAAUAUGAUGCAAUUAAAAUAUUACAUACAAUUGCACAAAACUGGACACAGAAAUAUUAUUAUUUGAAAUGUGUAUAACCAACGUUGAUACUCAGAUAUCUUCGUUUUUCUCAUGAUCUUAAAUAAUGUCCGACUGUAUGUAAUAUUCAAUUAAAAAUUACACCAUUUAAUAUUAAUUCAUUCUCACAUGUUUUGUGUUUGUAUAUUUGUAAUUAUGACGAUAAGCUAAUAAAUAUUCUGUUCUGUUCUGUUCAUAAGAGUCUUACACAAAUCCUGUUUAAUAUAACCUGACUAUUGUCCGCUUGACUUAAUUAGACGUAAUCAUGAACCAACAGAAGCUGUCCGUGUCAAUAAACGUGCUAAUCCGUUUGUCAUGUACUUGACCAGGGACAGGUGCUAGUAUGUGACACGCGUCCGUAUAAUAACAGUCAU